rnacentral:snoRNA from 1 species
UGUUAUGAUGAUUGUUUGGAAUAUUAUAUACGCUGGAAAUUACCGGCUGAGACCCUCGGGUUGUUGAAGAUAUUCAAAUGGCUAUCUCUGAUC